GUUUUUAUAGUUUAAAAAAACCUUGGUCUUGUAAAUCAAAGAUAAUCUACAUUAGAUUUUAAAACA
rnacentral:tRNA from 1 species